AUUGAACGCUGGCGGCAGGCCUAACACAUGCAAGUCGAGCGAGCGGCGGAAGGGUGAGUAAUGUCUGGGAAACUGCCUGAUGGAGGGGGAUAACUACUGGAAACGGUAGCUAAUACCGCAUAACAUCAGAUGUGCCCAGAUGGGAUUAGCUAGUAGGUGGGGUAACGGCUCACUUAGGCGACCAUCCCUAGCUGGGCUGAGAGGAUGACCAGCACCACUGUAACUUAGACACGGUCCAGACUCAUACGGGAGGCAGCAGUGGGGAAUAUUGCACAAUGGGCGCAAGCCUGAUACAGCCAUGCCGCGUGUGUGAAGAAGGCCUUCGUGUUGUAAAGCACUUUCAGCGGGGAGGCGUUACCCGCAGGAGAAGCACCGGCUAACUCCGUGCCAGCAGCCGCGGUAAUAC
rnacentral:rRNA from 1 species